rnacentral:misc_RNA from 1 species
GAUGAAGAACGUAGCGAAAUGCGAUACUUGGUGUGAAUUGCAGAAUCCCGUGAACCAUCGAGUCUUUGAACGCAAGUUGCGCCUCAAGCCAUUAGGUUGAGGGCACGUCUUCCUGGGCGUCACAUAUCGUUGCCUGAUGCCAGUUUCCUCGUGAUGGGUGACUGUGCAGGGCGAAUGAUGGCUUCCCGUGAGCAUUGUUGCCUCAUGGUUGGUUGAAAAUUGAGUCCUUGGUAGGGAGCGCCGUGAUAGAUGGUGGUUGAGUGACGAACGAGACCCAAUCAUGUGAGACCCCUACCGAAUUUGGCCUUCAUGACCCACAUGCGUCUUUGGAACGCUCAUGACGAGACCUCACGUCAGGCGGGGCUACCCGCUGAGUUUAAGCAUAUCAAUAAGCGGAGGA